GGGCUCACACAAGCGGUGGAGCAUGUGGUUCAAUUCGAAGCAACGCGCAGAACCUUACCUGGGCUUGACAUGCUAGGAUUAUCCCUGUGAAAGCAGGGUAGGCCCUUCGGGGUACAACUAGUACAGGUGCUGCAUGGCUGUCGUCAGCUCGUGUCGUGAGAUGUCGGGUUAAGUCCCUUAACGAGCGAAACCUUUGCCCUUAGUUACCAGCGAGUAAAGUCGGGGACUCUAAGGGGACUGCCGGUGUCAAACCGGAGGAAGGUGGAGAUGACGUCAAGUCCUCAUGGCCUUUAUGCCCAGGGCCACACACGUGCUACAAUGGGGUGCACAGAGCGAACCGAGACCGCAAGGUGGAGGAAAUCGCAUAAAUCACCCCCCAGUUCAGAUCGGAGGCUGCAACUCGCCUCCGUGAAGUUGGAAUCGCUAGUAAUCGCGGAUCAGCUACGCCGCGGUGAAUGUGUUCCUGAGCCUU
rnacentral:rRNA from 1 species